UCCUCUCUCAGGAGCCCCGGAACCCCUCUGGGGGCGCCAGGACACCCCCUGCCCCUCGGUGGACACACAGCUGCUGCCUCCCGGGGAUCCGGACAUGCCCGGCUUCCCUUUCUGCAAAGACAGGUCCCUCAACGGGGUGGGGGGUGGGUGGGCUGCUGCACCCUGGAACCCUCCCCUGCAGGGUUGGUUGCUCUCAUUCCGAGUGACAAAGGCCACUGCUAUCAUCAAUAAAAUGUCUGGAUCAUGAAACAGA